GGCUCAGAUUGAACGCUGGCGGCAGGCUUAACACAUGCAAGUCGAGCGGGCGAGGUUGCUUCGGUAACUGAGCUAGCGGCGGACGGGUGAGUAAUGCUUAGGAAUCUGCCUAUUAGUGGGGGACAACAUUCCGAAAGGAAUGCUAAUACCGCAUACGCCCUACGGGGGAAAGCAGGGGAUCUUCGGACCUUGCGCUAAUAGAUGAGCCUAAUUCAGAUUAGCUAGUUGGUAGGGUAAAGGCCUACCAAGGCGACGAUCUGUAGCGGGUCUGAGAGGAUGAUCCGCCACACUGGGACUGAGACACGGCCCACACUCCUACGGGAGGCAGCAGUGGGGAAUAUUGGACAAUGGGCGCAAGCCUGAUCCAGCCAUGCCGCGUGUGUGAAGAAGGCCUUUUGGUUGUAAAGCACUUUAAGCGAGGAGGAGGCUACUUGGAUUAAUACUCUAGGAUAGUGGACGUUACUCGCAGAAUAAGCACCGGCUAACUCUGUGCCAGCAGCCGCGGUAAUACAGAGGGUGCGAGCGUUAAUCGGAUUUACUGGGCGUAAAGCGUGCGUACGCGGCUUCUUAAGUCGGAUGUGAAAUCCCUGAGCUUAACUUAGGAAUUGCAUUCGAUACUGGGAAGCUAGAGUAUGGGAGAGGAUGGUAGAAUUCCAGGUGUAGCGGUGAAAUGCGUAGAGAUCUGGAGGAAUACCUAUGGCGAAGGCAGCCAUCUGGCCUAAUACUGACGCUGAGGUACGAAAGCAUGGGGAGCAAACAGGAUUAGAUACCCUGGUAGUCCAUGCCGUAAACGAUGUCUACUAGCCGUUGGGGCCUUUGAGGCUUUAGUGGCGCAGCUAACGCGAUAAGUAGACCGCCUGGGGAGUACGGUCGCAAGACUAAAACUCAAAUGAAUUGACGGGGGCCCGCACAAGCGGUGGAGCAUGUGGUUUAAUUCGAUGCAACGCGAAGAACCUUACCUGGUCUUGACAUAGUAAGAACUUUCCAGAGAUGGAUUGGUGCCUUCGGGAACUUACAUACAGGUGCUGCAUGGCUGUCGUCAGCUCGUGUCGUGAGAUGUUGGGUUAAGUCCCGCAACGAGCGCAACCCUUUUCCUUAUUUGCCAGCGGGUUAAGCCGGGAACUUUAAGGAUACUGCCAGUGACAAACUGGAGGAAGGCGGGGACGACGUCAAGUCAUCAUGGCCCUUACGACCAGGGCUACACACGUGCUACAAUGGUCGGUACAAAGGGUUGCUACCUAGCGAUAGGAUGCUAAUCUCAAAAAGCCGAUCGUAGUCCGGAUUGGAGUCUGCAACUCGACUCCAUGAAGUCGGAAUCGCUAGUAAUCGCGGAUCAGAAUGCCGCGGUGAAUACGUUCCCGGGCCUUGUACACACCGCCCGUCACACCAUGGGAAUUUGUUGCACCAGAAGUAGGUAGUCUAACCGCAAGGAGGACGCUUACCACGGUGU
rnacentral:rRNA from 1 species